rnacentral:rRNA from 1 species
AUUGAACGCUGGCGGCAGGCUUAACACAUGCAAGUCGAACGGUAACAGAGAAUAGCUUGCUAUUUUGCUGACGAGUGGCGGACGGGUGAGUAAUGCUUGGGAAUUUACCUUGUUGUGGGGGACAACAGUUGGAAACGACUGCUAAUACCGCAUAAUGUCUUUGGACCAAAGGUGGCCUCUAUUUAUAUGCUAUCGCGACAAGAUGAGCCCAAGUGGGAUUAGCUAGUUGGUAAGGUAAUGGCUUACCAAGGCGACGAUCCCUAGCUGGUCUUAGAGGAUGACCAGCCACACUGGAACUGAGACACGGUCCAGACUCCUACGGGAGGCGAGCAGUGGGGAAUAUUGCACAAUGGGGGAAACCCUGAUGCAGCCAUGCCGCGUGUAGUGAAGAAGGCUUUCGGGUUGUUAAAGCACUUU